UUUUUUAUAACCAUGUUUCACGCCUUCUCUACGAAUAUAUUUUCUCCUGUCAACAUCUACAAAUGAUUAGCCCUACAUGAAACCUAAAGACCCUUGCAAAGCAUAUGCAUGCAAAAUACAGAAAUGUUUACACGAAAAUAAAUUCCAGGAGAAUAAAUGUCAAGAAUUCAUUGAGUAUUUAAGGGAAUGCUGUGUCAUUUGGAAAGACCAGUCAAUAUCAUGUUCUGGCAUAGACAUUUCAAAGGCUGUGAAAAACGAAACGAAAAAAUCCUAAACUGCCUACUGUCUAAAUAGCACUCAAGAAAUGAUAAGGGUUGCAAGUAUCUCUUCUCAUAAAUAAAUCAUUUAAUACAAUUGUGUUGCACAUUAUACAGGAUGAAAUUUGGAGAGUAGGCCUGUCUGUGAUAGUAUAAAUGUGUAGAAUAAUUAAAAAUGUGAAUAAAUAAAGUAAUAUUGCAUCACGUUAUUUAAAUGUUUUAAAUUUUAAAUGACUUACAACAAAUGUAAUCAUGGAAAUAAACUCACCUUGCUUACAAAGCGUAGAACCGA